CAGGGAAUAGUUUAAUUUGAAAAUAUUAGCUUUGGAGGUUAGUGAUGGGGUUUUCCUUUCCUUGA
rnacentral:tRNA from 1 species